UACGGGGGGGGCAAGCGUUGUUCGGAAUUACUGGGCGUAAAGGGCUCGUAGGUGGCCAACUAAGUCAGACGUGAAAUCCCUCGGCUUAACCGGGGAACUGCGUCUGAUACUGGAUGGCUUGAGUUUGGGAGAGGGAUGCGGAAUUCCAGGUGUAGCGGUGAAAUGCGUAGAUAUCGGGAGGAACACCGGUGGCGAAGGCGGUUCUCUGGGCCUGACCUGACGCUGAGGAGCGAAAGCGUGGGGAGCGAACAGG
rnacentral:rRNA from 1 species